rnacentral:rRNA from 1 species
AGGGUUCGAUUCUGGCUCAGAACGAACGCUGGCGGCAUGGAUUAGGCAUGCAAGUCGAACGAAGUAGCAAUACUUAGUGGCGCAAGGGUGAGGAACGCGUGAGUGACCUACCCGCAAGUUUGGAACAGCUCCUGGAAACGGGAAUUAAUACCGGAUGUGAUCAACGGGCUGCAUGGUUUGUUGAUUAAAGCAGUAAUGCGCUUGCGGAUGGGCUCGCGUCCCAUUAGCUAGUUGGUGAGGUAACGGCCCACCAAGGCCAUGAUGGGUAGCUGGUCUGAGAGGACGACCAGCCACACUGGGACUGAGAACUGCCCAGACUCCUACGGGAGGCUGCAGUCGAGAAUUUUGGGCAAUGGACGAAAGUCUGAACCCCCAGCAAUGCCGCGUGCGGGAUGAAGGUCUUCGGAUUGUAAACCGCUGUUUGGCGGGACGAAAAUUGACGGUACUUCCAGAGAAAGCCACGGCUAACUACGUGCCAGCAGCCGC